GAUCCUGGCUCAGGACGAACGCUGGCGGCGUGCCUAACACAUGCAAGUCGAACGAAGCUCGAUGCUUUGAGGUUUCGGCCAAGAAGCAAAGAUGACUUAGUGGCGAACGGGUGAGUAAUGCGUGAGCAACCUGCCUUUCAGAGGGGGGACAACAGCUGGAAACGGCUGCUAAUACCGCAUAACACAUCGGGGUGGCAUCACCUUGAUGUCAAAGGAGCAAU
rnacentral:rRNA from 1 species